AUUGAACGCUGGCGGCAGGCCUAACACAUGCAAGUCGAACGAGUGGCGGACGGGUGUGUAAUGUCUGGGAAACUGCCUGAUGGAGGGGGAUAACUACUGGAAACGGUAGCUAAUACCGCAUACCAUCAGCUGGUCCCAGGUGGGAUUCGCUUGUUGGUGGGGUAUCGGCUAACCAAGGCCACGAUCCCUAGCUGAUCUGAGAGGAUGACCGGCCACACUGGAACGGAGACACGGUCCAGACUCCUACGGGAGGCAGCAGUGGGGAAUAUUGCACAAUGGGCGAAAGCCUGAUUCAGCCAUGCCGCGUGUAUGAAGAAGGCCUUCGGGUUGUAAAGUACUGUCAGCGGGGAGGCGUUACCCGCAGAAGAAGCACCGGCUAACUCCGUGCCAGCAGCCGCGGUAAUAC
rnacentral:rRNA from 1 species